rnacentral:rRNA from 1 species
GAUGAACGCUGGCGGCGUGCCUAAUACAUGCAAGUAGGACGCAGUUGCGAACGGUGGAGUAACGCGUAGGUAACUACCUGUUAGAGGGGGAUAACCAUUGGAAACGAUAGCUAAUACCGCAUACUAGUAGAUAGACCUGAGUUGUAUUAGCUAGUAGGUAGGGUAAUGGCCUACCUAGGGAAUGAUACAUAGCCGAGUCUGGGAGGUGAUCCGCCCACCUGGGACGGGGUCACCGGCCAAACCUCUACUGGAGGCAGCAGUAGGGAAUCUUCGGACAUUGGGGGAACGCUUACCGCGGACAGCCGGGUGAGAGGAGGAAGUUUUGGGGUCGUAAAGGUCUGUUGAGAAGGAAGCGGUACUGACACAGAAAGGGACGGCUAACUACGUGCCAGCAGCCGCGGUAAUUC